UGAGGAAUAUUGCACAAUGGGCGCAAGCCUGAUGCAGCAACGCCGCGUGAGGGACGAAGGCCUUCGGGUCGUAAACCUCUUUUCUGGGGGACGAGUAAGGACGGUACCUCAGGAAUAAGUCUCGGCUAACUACGUGCCAGCAGCCGCGGUAAAACGUAGGAGGCGAGCGUUAUCCGGACUUACUGGGCGUAAAGCGUACGCAGGUGGCUUCGUGAGUCGGACAUGAAAGCUCCCGGCUUAACUGGGAGAGGUUGUUCGAUACUGCGGGGCGUGAGGUUGGGAGAGGGACGUGGAAGUCCCGGUGUAGUGGUGGAAUGCAUAGAUAUCGGGAGGGACACCAGUGGCGCAAGCGGCGUCCUGGCCCACACCUGACGCUGAGGGACGAAAGCGUGGGUAGCAAACAG
rnacentral:rRNA from 1 species